AUGCCAUCUUUACAGGGGUGUAUUCCAUGUAUUUUUGUGAUCUUCGUGGUGACUAGCACAAGCCUCCCUAGCUUGAGUCAGUCGAGCUCUACUUUUGCUAUAAAUGUUCCUGGCAGAUUGUUAACAUGUUUUGCAAUUUUGCCAAGCUUGUUGUUGUUGAUCCUUGCAUGCUAUGAUGUUGUUCUUGCCAUGUCUAGCUUUUAUGACAUGUCUAAUUGA
rnacentral:rRNA from 1 species